UACGUAGGCAGCGAGCGUUGUUCGGAGUUACUGGGCGUAAAGGGUGUGUAGGCGGUUCUUUUAAGUUUGGUGUGAAAUCUCCCGGCUCAACCGGGAGGGUGCGCCGAAUACUGAGGGACUUCGAGUGCGGGAGAGGAAAGUGGAAUUCCUGGUGUAGCGGUGAAAUGCGUAGAUAUCAGGAGGAACACCGGUGGUGUAGACGGCUUUCUGGACCGUAACUGACGCUGAGACACGAAAGCGUGGGGAGCAAACAGG
rnacentral:rRNA from 1 species